AUUGAACGCUGGCGGCAUGCCUUACACAUGCAAGUCGAACGCGAAAGGGGGGCAACUCCUGAGUAGAGUGGCGCACGGGUGAGUAAUGCAUCGGAACGUGUCCUGUAGCGGGGGAUAACCUAGCGAAAGCUAGGCUAAUACCGCAUACGUCCUACGGGGGAAAGUGGGGGAUCGUAAGACCUCACACUAUAGGAGCGGCCGAUGCCGGAUUAGCUAGUUGGUGGGGUAAAAGCCUACCAAGGCGACGAUCCGUAGCUGGUCUGCGAGGAUGAUCAGCCACACUGGGACUGAGACACGGCCCAGACUCCGACGGGAGGCAGCAGUGGGGAAUUUUGGACAAUGGGGGAAACCCUGAUCCAGCCAUGCCGCGUGAGUGAAGAAGGCCUUCGGGUUGUAAAGCUCUUUCGGCCGGGACGAAAUCGCACGCGUGAAUAUCGCGUGUGGAUGACGGUACCGGAAGAAGAAGGACCGGCUAACUACGUGCCAGCCGCCGCCGUAA
rnacentral:rRNA from 1 species